rnacentral:rRNA from 1 species
CCUACGGGCGGCAGCAGUGAGGAAUAUUGGUCAAUGGACGCGAGUCUGAACCAGCCAAGUAGCGUGAAGGAUGACUGCCCUAUGGGUUGUAAACUUCUUUUAUAAGGGAAUAAAACGAGGCACGUGUGCCUUUUUGCAUGUACUUUAUGAAUAAGGAUCGGCUAACUCCGUGCCAGCAGCCGCGGUAAUACGGAGGAUCCGAGCGUUAUCCGGAUUUAUUGGGUUUAAAGGGAGCGUAGAUGGGUUGUUAAGUCAGUUGUGAAAAUUUGCGGCUCAACCGUAAAAUUGCAAUUGAUACUGGUAGUCUUGAGUGCAGUUGAGGUAAGCGGAAUGCGUGGUGUAGCGGUGAAAUGCUUAGAUAUCACGAAGAACCCCGAUUGCGAAGGCAGCUUACUAAACUGUGACUGACAUUGAGGCACGAAAGUGUGGGGAGCAAACAGGAUUAGAUACCCGGGUAGUC